ACUGAAGGAGAACUGUUUUGCUUUGCUCCGGGAAGAGUGCAGACACGACGUGAAAUCCGGAGCUCUUUGCGUGGUGCAUUUAAAAUGCUUCCUUAUUUAUAUUAUCCUCAUCCCCUCCCCUCUCCCACCCCCUCACCAGCCCUUCCAAAUUUCCCUAGAAAUCUGUGUAAAGCGUGGAGGGGAAAACAUUUGCAUAAAAAGUGAAGGAGCACGCCAAGGAGCACCAAAGACCAAGAGGAGACCAGAUGAGUUUUCAGAGCAGUUCUCAGACACCCAGGACGCAUGUCAUCCUUUGCCUCGUGCUUUCUGCAAUGUUGCUGCUCACCUUCAUCUUUCUAUUAACCCUCGCCAUAACGAUCCCCUCCUGACACCACCACCUCUUCUCCAUUAAUCACCCACUCAGCUCUCUCUGAGCUGUCUCUCCCAUGGGGCAUGGCUUUGUCUCUGGCAGGCUCCCCUUGAAUCAUAUCCAGAUGGCUACCAUUUACUUCCCUUUCCUCUGUCUCCUCUUCACACCAGACUCAGUUAACACUCAGUCCCUUGGUCAGGAAAACCAGAGAAAAAGCUCCCUCUUCCAAAAAGGAAGUCAGAGCAUGCUCUGCUGGAGCCACCAUGCUCAGGGAAGAGACCCAAAAUACAGCUGAGUGUGAUGUCAUUGAAACCAGAUGGAAAGACCAGAAAUCCCUUAAUCCCAGUCAGACCUAGUGAAGGAGCUUUACUCGUGACUGUUGGGACUGAUUAAGAAUAUGGGGGCAGGGAGGAAGAGAGGGAGAAAGAUGUUCUGAAUUGGAUUGCCCUUCCAUACAGAAUGGAAUCCCCUAGAUUUUUUUUCCUCCAAUUAAAUGUGCAUUUCAUUCU
rnacentral:lncRNA from 1 species